UGAUCUUUUCUCUCAACAAACACAUGUAGCAUGAGCUAAUGUAAAACAAUGCAUCAGUCACCCUAGACAUCAACUCAUACGGCCCCAAUACACAUGAGCAGCACUACAGAAGCAUGGCAAAACACUGCAGAUCAUCUUUAGUUCAUCUGUUUGUCGUCAUUAUGGGCAAUCAGUGUAUUUCGGAACUGCUUAUUGGACCGAUCUACAGCACCACCUCCUGCUUCGUAACUCAUCCCAGGCCACGGACAAUUAAUAUCAGUUGAAACAGGACGAUGAACUGAAUUAUAGAACCCCGAUACUCAGCCAUAGGGCCAGGUGUGCCAUCGUUUCCUAAUAUGGAGAACCACGCAACGAAGAAGCAACGUCCAAGGGGAGGAAGAAGCAAAGAGAGAGAGAGAGAGAGAGAGAGAGAGAGAGUAACCUGAGCGGGGGGAGGGCGUGGGUUGUGGGAGCAGUUAGGAAGCACAAAAUUAGCGGCUACAGUAAUCUCGCGUGGGCCUAAACUACCUGAUUAGACGUAGAUGAUGCUUCCAAUCCAAGGGUCUACGACUAGUCUGAUACUAGAUUGCAUCUAUCAGUAGUCUGAUGCCCAAUAAAAAAAUCAUAUCGCCACUCCUCCUCUCUCGAACUAGAUCCCGAUCCGCUCCUCGUCGUCUCCCGAGGAGACGCCGCCGCCGAACCGGGGAGACGCCGGCGACCGCCGCCGCCACCGUCGCGGAUCACCAGGAUGCCGCCGCCUCCACCGCCACCGUCGGCGCCUUGGAUACGUCGCGAAUCACUAGACGAGAUCCCAAGCCGCUGUUCCUCCUCUCCCGGACAGGACGCAGCUGCCACCGCCGAACCGGGGAGAAGCCAGCGACCGCCGCAGCCGUCGCGGAUCUCCAGGACGCCGCCGUCUCAACUGCCACCGCCGGCGCCUCGGAUACGUCGCGGAUCACCACGAUGCGACUGUCGCGGAACAGCCGCCCAAACACACUCCGUUGGGGAACGGCCGCCCAAACAGGACGAGCUAUAACUGUCGUGGCCCCAGCCGGAUGCUCACUGCCUCCAUGCCAUGAGGAUGUAUGCAUGCGGACAAGCAGCCGCUGCUGCUGAUGCCCUAGCCGGAUGCGCUGCCGCUGAUUUUCUAACAGAAGCCUAUCAACUAACCUCUGCAAACACAAUCGAGAGGACGUGGAAGCCUCCCAGCGAUAAAUUCUUUCCCAGAGCUAGGUACUAGGUACUUCAAAUCCAUUUGCUUAAUGGGUGGUUGUUUAUAGGACAUCCACACUUUUUAAUAUCUUUCUAUAUCAAUUAUUGUAGAUGUUGUCCGUGACCAAUCAUAUUGUGUUAUAAUUUCUCAUUGGCAUGGAUGCCUUUCCCUCAAAUCUGGAGCAAAUAUGGUUUCCUUCGAAAAAGUUAUACUGAUGUGUCAUGUUUUUCAGAAAAGCCAAAGACUUAUUUGCCUGGGUGUACUUUCUCAAGUUUGUUUGCCUGUUUUCUCUUCUAAUUUUUCCUUUUGUAUAAGUGUUACCAAUCUUUUUUUGUUUACCCGUCGUUGGUAAGUAGCACUUGACACGAGUGGCAAGUCGAGCGAAUUUUCUUCGUCAAAAUCAGAUCUGAAGCGGUGGCUUUUAUUCUCCAGAUGACCUGAUCUAAUAGUUGAUUAGGUUGUGUCUCACGUUGUUUUUUCUGUGGCUACACGAUAUCAAAAGGAGGGAUAAAUCACUAAAGAGAUCGUGAACCACUCUUUCGUUGGUUGUGUCAAUGGUGUUCAAAUUAUGAGUUAGAAUUCUUUUUCCAGAAACAAAGACAUUCAGAUUAUACAUGCACCCGGCAUUAGUGAAUUCAUUCUGGACGAACUGGUAGAGCAGAUCCUUGCAAGUGGCACAACAUACAAGUUUAUGCUUAUAAUUCAACCAUUUACUUUAUGACUACAUGCCUCGAUGCAUAUGAUUAAAGGACACAUUCUCCAGUUAGUUACAAAUUGAACACUAUUUGUGUUUCAAUAUGUAUGACACGUUUCUUCUUCAGACUGAUUUCAAUAUAUAAGAUCUGCAUGUAAUUUUAAUAAUAGUAUCUUAUUGCUCUCAUUUAUUUGUUGUCUUUUCAGAUUGAAUAUUUUCUUCAAAAUAAACUAUACUCCACUUUAUGUUUUGUGUAUAACUGUGACCUGAACUUCACUUGGUUAUUUGCUUGCA